rfam:Bacteroidetes bacterium RIFCSPHIGHO2_02_FTLL_44_7 rifcsphigho2_02_scaffold_60277, whole genome shotgun sequence.
GCGGCUGGGGUAAGUCUUGUACGACUAGCUCCCUCUGAAUCCCCCAGGACGGGAACGUAGCAAGGGUGUGAGGUUGUAGCAGUGCGAUAUGAGUAGCUUGCCCCUCU